CCCAAGGAUAACUAUAUAAUUGUUUUUGGUGGGAAGAGAGGAAGUUUCCUGAGAGUUCUCUAGUUGAUCUAAGAAUCAAGAAUUACUUCAAGAUUAUCUAUUUCGGGACAUCAGAACACUAACCACAAAAAGAGAUGAGAAGGGGGCUAGGAAGCUCCGACUACGGUCCUACAAACACCGAUCCGAACGAGGUGGAAUACGUCGAUCGUUAGGGCUGUCACUACCCUAAGGCUACCACAACAAUCUGCAGGAUUGGGUGCAAUUCCAGGUGAUCGCAAGACUAAACACCACGUCUAAUCUAUUAAUUACUACUCUAGCGUUAUAAAGACUAGAGCACUUGAUGCAAGCGGGAAUCCAAUAAAUAACUUGAAUGUAAAUAAAAGUAAUUAGAGAACUCAGGAAUUAUGAUUUGAAGAACGAACCAGAUGCUGUAAAAGUAUAAUGUUGAGGAAGAUCCGAUAGAUCCGGCUCCUCCUCCGCUCUCCUCUUCUCUCUCCCUAUUUUCUAGAUUACAACUAGAACUAACUAGAACUAGAACUAGAGGAAUUAGAACUAGAACUAGAUGAACUAGAACUAGAACUAGAUGAACUAGAGGUAGAACUAGAAGAACUAGAGGGAUCCUCUCUACUUGGAUGAAGAAUUGAAACCCUAACUUUGAUUCUGUAGAAGAGGUAUGAUCUACAGGGGCUAGGGGGGGUCUGGUUUUAUAGUCCCUUCAUUUGAAUCUGGGCCGUCGGAUCAAACCGACAUUGAUCGCACGGUUUUCCUUGAUCCCUUAGGUCGGUGGAGCGUUGUCCGCGAAACGUGUCUGAAUUGGUCUCUGGAAGUGGGCGGGCGCCCAAGGGACUAGGGCGGGCGCCCUGUGCCUGAGCCCUCUCGGCCUCCGCUUCGUUCCCGUGGCUUCUGCAGUCUUCUAGAUGGUAGAUAAUUGUGCGGCACGUUAAUAUCUCUAUGUAAACCCGACGCGUGGGCCUUUCUUCCGUAUUUCCUGAUAACCCCCUACAGAAAUAGACAAACACCAAAACUUGUGGAAUUCUGUCAGAUAAAACCCUAAGUCUAGGUGUUGGUUGCAUUUGGAUCCUUUUCUAUGAUUAGUUGAUGGUUAAAUAUGAGCAUUAAGGACCGUCAACAAGCUCCCCCAAGCUUAACCUUUGCUCGUCCCUGAGCAAAGAUGGACUCAAGAGUUUCUGUAGUGGUUUCAUAACUUAAAGAUACACAUGCGUUUAAACAAGAUCUCAUCUCUGGUUAGAGUAAACUGUUAAGACUUAAAACUUACUCAUUUACCUUUCACCAUGGGACUUGUAACAGUCACUUCUGUCUUGAGUAGUUAAAAGAUAGAACAGUCUAGUCAAGCACCAUGUCUCUUGUUCUUCGAUUAACUAUAGCUCUGGAGUUUUUGCAGAUUUUCAAAUAAAACUCAAAGAUUCCUUGUAUGACUCUCUCUAGUCUCUCUUUUGUGGUAUUUCUGGAUCGUUACCAAGGCAGUAAUGGUAUAUGCCUUCUCUCAAAGUAUGUGGUAUUUGUGGUAUAAGGCAUAGUGGCAUUGCCUUCUCUCUCACCGUACUCUUAUAAGGUUUUGAUAUAUGGAGCUCAUAGGUGGGAGACAGCUAAUACAUACUUACAAGACAUUUAUUGCAUAGUCAAACCAUGGAUCCAGUAGAACAAGUCAAUAAGUCAAAUCAAGAUGUGCAUGUGUGGCGAAUGAAUGGUGUAUGGUAAUGAUGGUGAUAACAAUAGUGAAAGUCUAAUUCUACUUAUGCUCUUUUGAGGGGAUACGUACCUUUCUUGCUCUUUUGAAACUUUUUUGAGGAAUGAGAUGCUCUAUAUUUUAUCUUUUUCUUUUCUCUCAGAUGGGUAUCUUGUACCCCUAAUUUUACUGUCGGACACUUGUCCAUUUUUACCUCUCGUCUCACUUUUUCUUUUAUUUCGAGGUUCCGGGCACUUGCCCCUUUUUAUUUCCUCGCAUUCUUUCUUUUUUUCUUUCUUUUUUUAGAGCACUCAUCUCCUGAAAUAAUAUAGCAAGUGGUAGUAACCAAGAUAACUUGAGCAUUUUUUUUCACAGGGAAAACAGAAAUAGGAGAAUGUUUUUGGCUAUUCUCUCCUGGAUUAGGAGUAGAAUAUUUUUGGGUGGUUCUGGAGAUGGAAAUGGAUGGAUAUAUGUGGAUGGUACUUCUGGAGUAGAAGUAGCAUGUGUGAGUGAACGUGCAAGUGAAUCUUGAUUUAACCACAUGACAAGCUCCUAAGGGUCUACACAGCUUGACCACACUCAAUGCUCAUAAGUAGUAAAAAGUAAAUGAAUGGUUCAUAGUCUAAUAAGCAUGUAUAUAUGGCUGUGGUAGGAAUUUAAACUCUCAUCAUACAGGAACUCAUCAUGCAACAUUUUAAAGAUUUUUCAAAGAUAAAUUUCUCCAGAAUGCUAGCAUCUCUAGGAACAGAUAAACUGCAGCUCAACCUUCCCAUAUCAUAUCCGUUAACGACUUAGACUUUUGAUCAAGUACUCUUCCCACAAGUUCAGGUUUAGAGCAAAUCUUAAUUAAUAACAGUCAUGUCUAAACUUGAGAGAGAUUUCAAUUUUGAGAACUAGUCAUGGCAGAGCAACUAUUCAUCAUUUCCAUGUGAGAGCUUAUCACGAGGUUUAUUGCAAACUUUGUUUAUUUAUUUAUUUAGCAAACAAAGCAAAGAUAUAUAUGUAAGCACAAAAUCAUUAUUUGGGUUUAUAUGAUUAUGCAUCUUUUUAUUAUUAGAGUAAAGUAUAAAUAUGAGUAGAAUACUUAGCUGGAUAAAUGGGAGUGCUCUCCCCCAAGCUGGAUUUUGACGUAAUCUCUUCUGAUGUAGCUAGCAGGUGGCGGAGGUAUGUCGGCAGCACCCUGACAGCGAUUAGGAUGUCCAUCGUCUGCUAGUCUUCUUUGAUCCUUGAAUUCUGUGGAGCUCAAAUAAACAACAAAGCUUUGUGGAACUAGUUAAGUGUUAGCAUAAGUAUCUAGCCUUUAUCAUGUUGAGCUUCCUCAAUAAAUGUUACUCAUUAGUAGGAUCAUAAAUUUAUUUUUAUAUUUUUAUUUUUAUAGGACAGGAAUAUAUUUAUUUCAUUUUUACGCCACCACAAUGAAUGUACUUAUGGGUUUUAUGCCAUGAGCAUACUCACAUGGGGCUUAAUAUUUUUAACAUUUUUAUUUUCGUUUCAAGAUGAUAUGAACCUGAUUAACUAAGCAAACUAUUUUAAAUAAUUGAAAGGAAAAAGAUAACUACCAAGUUUACCUCUUGGCAAGGCGUUCGGUGUUUUUAAGUCCUCCGAACGGGACUCUCCAUUUUCUCAGUCGUCCUGGGAUUCGCUGGAUGGCGUAGUCGGUGGUUCCGGUGGAGCCUGCUCUUCAUGUAUAACUAUCUUUUUUCUCCACACGUGACUCGAUGCUACGGUCUCCUCAGGACAGUUCUAUUCAAGUUGUAUGUCUUCGGACCUUACAACUUCUCCUUCAUAGUCUACCCAUCCGUCCUUGAUGAUUUGCCUCCUGUGGUUGCGGUUGCGUCGUCGUCUUCUUGUCCUGACCUGCUUAGAGUCUUCAACUAUAUAGUUAGGGUCAGUAAAACAGCGGUGUACCUUCUCAGAGGUGAAGUGCAUGUGGACUUCUCUAGUUCCAAUGUAGAUGAUUGUUUUAACGUGCUGAGGAACGGUCUUCCAAUGAUGACGGGUAGAUCGAAUUUGUCUUCUCUCAUGUCAAUAACCUUAAAAUCAUCUGGAGCUGAAUGUAUGUUGGUUGUAGGGACAUGGUUCCAUGCAGGAGCUGAUAAGUGACUGCGGCCAUUAUGUUGAUGUUAGAUCCGGUGUCGUAGAGUGUCUUCUGAAAAGAAUAUCCGUUGAUUGUGCACUCGAUGCUUGGAACACCAGGGUCGUCCUUCUUGAUCAAGAAAGGUGACUUGAGUUGACGAUCUUGACCUCCUUGAGCUGCAGUGACCAUCUGAGCUGACUCGGUACACAUUUGCUUGUUCCUGUUCCUCCUGUUGGUCCUCUUCCUUGGUUCAUGUUGGGAUUGCUCUGGGAUUUGUGUAGUCUUGUUCUUGAAGGAAAACGCCUCCUUCCUUCCCUUGAUGUAGAAACUGAUCUUGGCAGCACUAGCGUAGAUGAUAGCUCCCGAGGUCUUCAGGAAUGGCCUCCCUAGGAUGAUGGGUGCCCUCUCAUCACUACCAGUCUCUAUCACCAUGAAGUCUGCUGGGUCGUACAAGGUACCAACUCGGACGCAGAGGUUCUUCAAUAUUCCCUUUGGGAAACUUAGCGUACGAUCUGCAAGCUGCAAACACUUGGCUGUUUCUAAUAAAGGAUGUGUAAAGAAUUUUUCAUAGAGUACCCUGGGCAUAAUGUUGACGCUAGAGCCAAAGUCGCAGAGUGCUUCUGGGAAGUUCACCAUGCUGAUGGAGAUCGGGAUGACGGUGCGUCCUGGAUCGCCUCUCUUGACCGGCAGAAGGUCAGUAAUUACUUCCAUAAUGGGGUUACUCCAGUAGUUACAUCCUCAAGCAUUUUAGGGCAGUGAUUGCCUGAGUGUCCAGUAUCUCCAGUGUGUUUGUGCUCGUAGAUCUAGGUUCUUCACUUUGGUGGAGUCUGGGAGUUGUAAAACUCCUUCAUAUUUUGCUCAAAGUGUACCUACUCAUAGAGACAAGGCAGAGAUCAAGUGCAUGGGCCCUGUUGGUGGAAAACACCAACAGAACCAAAAGCGUAUUUGCUCUUCUCUAUCCUUAAGCAUAGUGAGCAAGACACAAUUGAUGGAUAAUAAGAUCAUGAGUGUAGCAUUUAAAACAUUCGUCAGAUCAGAUCACUCAACCUAAUGGAAAGAUAAUCUAUCUAUAGUUAUGUUGUUUUUUAUAUAAUAUAUAUCUUCCAAAGAUUGAGUGUGCAACAUUUUUAGUUCAUAUGAUUAGGAGUGUGGGAUCAUAAAGGUGGAAGGACUAAACAUAUUGAAUCGACCGGGUUGGUUAAUCUAGAGUUGUAAAUCUUACAUGUUUGUCUCUUUUACUCAUGUGAAUGCCAGAAAUAAGGAGAAGCUUAUAGAAGUGAUAGUCAAGUACUUUAAGAUGUUACCUUACUUGAAGAGUGAUGGUACAGUAUCACCUUGUGGAAGCUUUCCUUUCUUAGCAGUUGUGCAUCGUGUUUGUGGCACCCUCCAUGGAUCAUCUCUUGUGAGCUAUGCUUUCCUUGUGUGAAUUGUUAAACUUCAUGUGUGUCUCUCUUUGUCUCCAAUGUGAGUUUAUCUCAGGACUUCCCAGGUCGAUAUUGAAAGUUUUCCUGCAGGGGUUAGUCCAACAAAAUAUACCAAUGUCUACACAAGCAGUUUUUAGUUCAAUAACCAAACUAGACUCCAUGUCUAAUUAGAUUAAGGAAGGCUGUUUAACCUAAGAACCAUGCUUAAUUUAAAAACCAAUAGAAGUAUGUACAGUACUUCCAAACUAACACUUACUAGGAUAAACAAAGGUAGCGUGAUGGCUUUUAUAGAGAUCUACUCAAGUGGAGAUGAAGUAGUGUGAUUACUAUUUAACAAAUUGAGCAUGUCUCAAAGGUAGGGACAACCAACAUAGCAACAUGGCAAAUGAUGUUUUUAUAUAAAGUACUCCCCCAAGCUUGAAUUUUGCAAAAUUCAAGUUUGGAUGAAUUUAAUUCAAUGUUGUAUGAUGAUUGGUUGUACAUACCUUGUGCUUGUCUUUCAUCUGAUCUUCUUGCUCCAAUCCUGGAAACGUUAGUGACAAGAAUACCCGAAGGAAAUUUUUUACAAUUAUCCUUAUAUGCUCAGUACACAAGGUAAUGUUGCAAAUAAUUAAAAGCUCAUGUUACGAUCUGAUCAGUGCUUGUUUUAGGACACUAAGCUUGUCCUUGGGAAACCCUCAAUUUAUGUCAGUGAAGUGGUUUCCCCUCCAACACUGACCUAUAUCAAGAUCAACUCAAGGAGAUCUGCAAAAUUUAUUAUAGACAUAUGCAUCGACAACCGCCCUUUUAAAGUUUUUAUAAAUAGAAAGGAAGUGGGGGUUGGAGAUCUCGAAUGUGGUGAUGUUGGAGAGACCAAUGGAUUGUGAAGAUGUUGCAUAUGAGCAUGGAGUAAGUGAAGUGGCUAUGAAAUAAAUUCCAUGCUCAUUAAUGCUUAGAGUGAAAUCCAUGUGGUGUGGUGAAGGUGAUAAGGUGAGUGUGGUAAAAAAAGAAAAGAAAAAGGAUACACGGACGACUUGGUUCGAAACUAGCACAGCUACCGUUCUCCGGCAACGGCGCUAGAAAGCUUGUUGGGUAUUUUAAACGCAAACAGAAAAAUCCGCAAGCGCACGGAUACCGAUGUAGCCUUCACCCGGGAGUAUUCCAGAGUAUCGAUUUUCCACAGGGAACGUGAGUGUACUAAUUAAGAAUCAAGAUCGCCCAAGGAUAACUAUAUAAUUGUUUUUGGUGGGAAGAGAGGAAGUUUCCUGAGAGUUCUCUAGUUGAUCUAAGAAUCAAGAAUUACUUCAAGAUUAUCUAUUUCGGGACAUCAGAACACUAACCACAGAAAGAGAUGAGAAGGGGGCUAGGAAGCUCCGACUACGGUCCUACAAACACCGAUCCGAACGAGGUGGAAUACGUCGACCAUUAGGGCUGUCACUACCCUAAGGCUACCACAACAAUCCGCAGGAUUGGGUGCAAUUCCAGGUAAUCGCAAGACUAAACACCACGUCUAAUCUAUUAAUUACUACUCUAGCGUUAUAAAGACUAGAGCACUUGAUGCAAGCGGGAAUCCAAUAAAUAACUUGAAUGUAAAUAAAAGUAAUUAGAGAACUCAGGAAUUAUGAUUUGAAGAACCUGGAGAACGAUGAAGAAUGAACCAGAUGCUGCAAAAGUAUAAUGUUGAGGAAGAUCCGACAGAUCCGGCUCCUCCUCCGCUCUCCUCUUCUCUCUCCCUAUUUUCUAGAUUACAACUAGAACUAACUAGAACUAGAACUAGAACUAGAUGAACUAGAGGUAGAACUAGAAGAACUAGAGGGAUCCUCUCUACUUGGAUGAAGAAUUAAAACCCUAACUUUGAUUCUGUAGAAGAGGUAUGAUCUCCAGGGGCUAGGGGGGUCUGGUUUUAUAGUCCCUUCAAGUGAAUCUGGGCCGUCGGAUCAAACCGACAUUGAUCGCAUGGUUUUCCUUGAUCCCUUAGGUCGGUGGAGCGUUGUCCGCGAAACGUGUCUG
rnacentral:lncRNA from 1 species